rnacentral:rRNA from 1 species
GGUGUGAAUUGCAGAAUCCCGUGAACCAUCGAGUCUUUGAACGCAAGUUGCGCCCGAGGCCACUACGGCCGAGGGCACGUCUGUCUGGGCGUCGCAUGCAGCGUCACCUCACACCUCGCCCCCGCGUGGAGGUGUCGGUGGAGUAUGGCCUCCCGUGUCGUACGUCGUCUCGAUGCGGUUGGCUCAAAUGGGAAGCUCGGGGAAACGGAUGCCGUGGCAAUGGGUGGUCAGCGAGUUGUCGGAAAGGCACCGUCGGUCAUGUCACGUCUUGGUUUCCUCGAGCUUGGUUCGAUCCCGUUCUACGGGUUAAAAGGCGACCCCAGAUCAGGCGGGGUUACCC